ensembl:lncRNA
UGUUCAAAAUCUUGCAAGCUGUUCUUUCAUUUAUUUCAUCUUGAUUUAGUUGUUUCAGGUUGGAGGGUAAAUAUCUAUAAGAAGUUGAAGGUCCUAAGAGACUUCUCUCCUUGAGAUACCCUCCUCAUUUGUCUUCCAUAGAAUUUAUAUAUUCUGCUUUUACCUGUUACCUCUGGCUGUUUCUUCUCCAUCUUUCAAAUCUGUAACCCCUAAAGCAGUGGUAAAGAAUCUGCCUGCCAAUCAGGAGGCACAAAAGAUGCAUGUUCAAUACCUUGGUGGGGAAGAUCCCCUGGAAGAGGGCAUGGCAACCCACUCCAGUAUUCUUACCUGGAGAAGAUAUUAAAAGAUAUUCUUGUCUGGAUUUCUGGAGCUUAGAAGCCCAAGAUCAAGGUGCUGGAAAAUUCUGUUUCUGAGUACAUCAUGAGAAAUGCUGGACUGAAUGAAGCACAAGCUGCAAUCAAGAUUGCUGGGAAAAAUAUCAAAACCCUCAGAUAUGCAGAUGACACCAUAACUUUUCUCUCAAGGAGUGGCAAGAUACAGCAAGGAACAGAUAGCCAUGAUGCCCACUCUCCAAGAA